UACGUAGGGGGCAAGCGUUGUCCGGAUUUAUUGGGCGUAAAGCGUCUGUAGGUGGUUUACUAAGUCAACUGUUAAAUCUUGAGGCUCAACCUCAAAAUCGCAGUCGAAACUAUUAGGCUAGAGUAUAGUAGGGGUAAAGGGAAUUUCCAGUGGAGCGGUGAAAUGCGUAGAGAUUGGAAAGAACACCGAUGGCGAAGGCACUUUACUGGGCUAUUACUAACACUCAGAGACGAAAGCUAGGGUAGCAAAUGGG
rnacentral:rRNA from 1 species